rnacentral:SRP_RNA from 1 species
GCUGGGCAUGGUGGUCCAUGCCUGUAAUCCCAGAACUUUGGGAGGCUGAGGUGGGUGGAUCACCUGAGGUCAGGAGUUCGAGACCAGCCUGGCCAACAUGGUGAAACCCCAUCUUUA